GACGCGUUAUUCUUUGUUGUAGAUUUCAAAAUGGGUUGUUUCGGCAGCAAAGAUAAGUUGAGCAAAGAGGAUAUGGAUUUCCUUAAAUCACACACAAGAUACGAUGAAGCAACUAUAAAAGAAUGGUACAAAGGAUUCAAACAAGAUUGCCCAAAUGGUAGAUUAACGCCAGCAAAAUUUGUCGACAUGUACAAAAUGUUCUUCCCAUCUGGCAAUGCGGAAGAAUUCUGCGACCAUGUUUUCCGUACAUUCGAUAUGGACAAAAAUGGCUACAUCGAUUUUAAGGAAUUUCUAUUGGCCAUCGAUGUAACGUCUAGCGGGACGCCAGAAGAAAAACUAAAGUGGGCUUUCCGGAUGUAUGACGUUGAUGGAAAUGGCGUCAUUGAUAUUCAAGAAAUGACUAAGAUCGUUCAGGCAAUAUACGACAUGCUCGGUGCAUGCUCGAGCAACAGACCAGCAGACAGUGCAGAAGAAAGAGCGAAAAACAUAUUUGCAAGAAUGGAUGAAAAUAAUGACGGUCAACUUACCGAGGAGGAAUUUUUGAAAGGUUGCCUUCAAGACGAAGAGCUUUCAAAAAUGCUGGCCCCUUAAUUCCCGUGUUUUGUUUCGGGAUCGAUUAUUAAUAGUACACUGUUGUCAAAAAACAUUCGUAAAAUACCAACCGACCGAGCAACAGCGAUGAAAGCAAUUUCAGAUACAUCUGUCUUUCAUACGAAACGUAUUUGUUGUAGAAUUAUACAUACAUAUACAGAUGCACGUAUACGUACGCGCCUGUACACAUGCAUACACGCACAAAUACACGGACACGCGCGUGCGCGCGGAUACAUUGCAGCAUUACAAUGGUUAAUACGAAAACCUGAUAGAACGCCUUUAAUUCCCAGAAUUUCAAUUGGUAAAGAACAAUAACUAAAGAAUCGUUGUCUUUCUACGUUCUAAUUUCGAGUCGAGUUACCGGAAUCGAAUAAUUUCUCGAAAGAAAUUCGUCGACGGAUUACUUCUUAAGGAAUCGGAUUUAAGUGAUGUGAACGCGAGAGGAGUCCACCCUUGAUCUGAAUUUACAACCGAUGAUACGAAGGAACUCAUACAUUGACUAUUUGGAAAGUAUCCAGCAUUAGACAUCCAAAAAAUACCCAACUUCUCAACAAAAAAACAAAAAACAAAAAAAAACACUUAGACUGUGAAGAGGACAACAUCGGCAAGCAACGCUUUGCAAUCAUGACCAUUUUAACAUUUUAUAUAGUUGCAAUUUCGUUGUCGGAUGUAAACACAAAAGAAAUAUUUCAAUGAAAUUGCAUCGAGGAGUUUAAACUGAUGCUUCCGCGGCAAGUACCUUAAGAUUGACGUUUAAGGUGAACGUUAAUUACUAGACGUAAUUUGACAGGAUUUUUCAAUGUUUCGUGAUCGAACGGUUCAGACAGUUGCUCUCCCUUUAUAAUUUGAACAACGACGACAAAGUGCUAGGACAUUUCGUGAGUGAUGGUAACACAACGAAUUGCAAGAGAGUACUGUCGAAUAGGUAGAACAAAUUUUCAAUCGAGGAAUGCAGUUUUAUAUUGCACGAUAUACUUCAAAUGGUACAUUUCACACCCAAAAAGAGUGUCUGGCAAUGAAGAAAAUAUUUUCCAGGGUGAUCGUACGUUAUAAAAUACUAUGAAACUUAGAAAUAAACAAAUUGUAUUUAUAUUUGCCGAAUUACUAGGCUUCAAACAUUAUUUCGUUGGGUAUUCAAACUUCUAUAAUCAAGCAAUAUUGUUUGCAUUGUAAUUUUGUUUCUGUUUUUAAUUGCAUUUUAUUUGACAAUAUAAAAUCAUUCCUUCAAAUUCUUCCUUUCAGUCCUUUUUGUCAAACAUUCUAUACUUUUCAAAGAUUUCACUGAUAUGUCUUAUACCAGUCUAAAUACCGUAGGUACUGAAUUUAUUUUUUAUUCAUUCUACUAAAAAUACAUGUUACGCUAUUUAAAAUUUUCGUGAGUGUCACUGUAUAAUUUCUCAUAUACGUAUCAUAGUGAGUGUAUAAAAUAUACGCGCGUCGUCUAAAACUAAAAGAUAAAUGCGAAACAUUUAAGUUGGCAAUGUAUAUGCGUGCAAUAUAACAUGUCUACAAAGAAUACUUAGUGUUAUUGUGUAAUAUGCAUCAAGCACUACGUUCCUUAAAAUUAGGGUAGUAAUGGAAUAUAUUCGACAGAUAAAAUCUAUAGUUUAACGGAGAUUAAGGAACUUCAUGUUGAAUAAAAAAUAUGUCAACGAUGUUGUCCCUUUAAAUUUACUUGCAAUAAUUUAAGAUGAGGGCAUAUAGAUAAUAAUACAUUAAUCCGCUGGUAAUAAGGAGAUAUGUUGUGAAAAUUAUAAAGUUUGUAACUCGUUAACUUCUUUGUGGUAAGGAAAUAUGGAAGCAAGGUAACCAGCUCUGAAAUUUAUACUACAACUGCUUACCAGCACGCAUGCAAUUUUUUGCUUUUUUUUCAUUUCUAGGAUCACGCGUAAUAAGAUGAAAAUGCAUGAGACGAUUUUUCUCGAAUCGGCAGCCAAUCCGACUCUUACAUUCAGUUAUUUAUUGGCACGAAAAUAUAAAUGAUUUAUAAAUUUUAUUUUCAAUUUAAUUUUUUAAUGAAUUUUCACACGUUGGCCGGAUCCGCAACUAAAUUCCAUAAAAUUGCCUUGUGCAUUUUUAGCUUAAUUCCGCUUAUCCUUUUAUGCAUCCAUGUGAUUUUUCAGUUUCGUAAUAAACUUCGAUUUUAUGCUUAAUGUAGCUCAAUGGAAAUCAAAAGUAUACCCAUAAGCAGAUUAAUAAUUUUAUACGAAAUCUUCCGCUCGACAAAAUUAACUGUACAAUCUUUUACAAGAUUUAUUUCUUUUAUUUCUAAACAAAAUAAGAAAGCAGAAAGCAAUUCGAACGAAAGGUAUGGCGUUAAUGAACUUUAUCCAUGGUAUUUUAUUACUAUUUUGAUUCCUUAUUUUUUUCUUCUUUUUUUUUUACAUCAGAGUUAUCUGUGAUUUUUAAAGCCUAUAGAGCAUUCAUUACUAUUUAGAUAGAUGAAAUAAAAAAUAAUUUUUCUUCUUGAAAGAAAGGUUGCCGACACAAUACUUGAGAUUUUACGAAUUUAUAUAAAUCACGGGUAAAAUAUCGUUUCAUUAGGAUUUGCUCGGAAGGUUUGUAAGCAGGAAGUAAGUAGGUAUCUAUGUACUAAUAUGCAAUUCGUGCAGUUGAUGUAAACAAAAAUCGCUCGCGUUAUCCGUAUAGUUACAUACAUAUUAUGUAUUGUAUAGUAGACUAAGUACAUAUCAUUGCCUCUUAAACGAAAAUCGGUCUGACGAAGUUUUCUUCGUGUUUUUACAACUUCAUGCUUCGAUCAUGCAUACUACGAUUUCAGUCAAUUUUAAACGUGAACAAAUUUUGUUCGUUAAUACGAUAUUGGAGAAAAGAUGCGACCUCACUCGCGCGCGCGCGCACACUCUCAAAAUCUUUAAAUACGUAAUUAUACGGAGUGAAUAUAUUAUUCAUUCACGGUAUGAUAAAAAAAAAGAAUGAUCUUUAUUCAUUCGUUGCAAUUUAUAUAAUCAGUGGCAUUCGUUCAUUUAAAUACAUCGGCACGAUAUUGAUUUUUUUUUUAAAUGUCCUCAAAUGGUGGCAUUAACCAUAAAUAAACGUGAUUUUGUAUCGCAUUAUUUCAUUUUGUUUCAUACAAAUUAUAGUGGACUAAUUACGUAACUAAUUGUUUAAAAUGAUAAGACAGAAAAAAAUGAAUAGAAAUAGGAAACUUUCGUAUUAUUAUUAAUUUAUAGACGUAUUACAAGUAUAUGCAUACAUGUAUGUUGAGAUACUUUUCACGUUCUGUGUCCCUGUUCGUGAUCUUUCGCUUUGUCCCCAAUAAAUUGAAGGAUAAUGCGUAACAAAGCAUCGCAAUUCUCCUUAAAUCGAAAGUGCAGCAUUGACAAUCGAAAUAACAAGUUUCUUUAUUGAAAGAGUCAAUGGAUAUAGGCGAAAAAUUUUAUAAAGCUUAAGAACAAACCCAAAGUGCAUUAUAUAUUACAAACACGUUUUUACAUCUCAGUUUCCACCUUUGAUUUUUGCAGCGUUCAAUAAUUAAAAAUUAAUUGCUAUUAUAAAAGAAUACAUUAAUAAAACCAUCUAACUCUACGAGUAAUCUGUUUUCUUCGUAAAGAAGUUAUCUGUAUUUUUUCAUUUUUUCAUGUUUUCUUGUACAUACUGACAUACGAAAUACAUUUUAUAAGCCCACGUAUAAAACGUUUUAUUAAAAAUCUUUGAAUCUUGUCAAUCGAUUUAACGAUUUUAAUACGUACGAAAGGGGCGUAACUCAUCGAAUAAUAAAAAUAUCACAUUCAGUACGUACUCACAUUUUAUCUCCAAUAAGUAUUUUACUGAAUUAAUCUUCAGUUACAAAAGUUCAGUAUAUUUGUAUGUCGUAACAAUCCCAAUAAUUUCGUAAUAUGUGUCAAAGUUAUUAAAACGACAAUUACUGUUACAUCAACGUAAUAUAUGAAGUAACAACUCAAUGAACAAUGCUUAUUCACUUUGAUGGAAUAUUCUACCGUUAAUAUAUACCCCACAGAGGGAUAUUUUAUGAAAUCUACUGUGGAAACUAUCCGAAAGUAUAAUCAAUUGAAACUACGAAUCUUACAAGCUAAACAUGAGAAAUUCAAAUGCAAGCGAAAAAUUGAAUUACCUACGCUAUUUCACAAAUCUAUACUAUUUUAUAUUUUUCUACGCCAUCCAUUCUAUCCUCCCUAUACAUUCAAUCACACUUCCAACCUGUUAAAAGGCACGCUUCUAUCUUUUUUUUCUUUUUUUUACUAAUAAUUAUCACUAGAAUGCGGAUUUCUAUGCAUUUGCGGGAAAUUUAAAGGUGCAAGAAAUGCACAGAAUGCGCAUGACAGGCAAAAAUAUAUAAAAUAUUCAAGAUACAAUAUUCUUCCAUACAAUUAUAAUAUUUCGUAGGGGAAGCAAAGCUUAGCUCCCACUUUUUAGUUGUAUUCUUAAAAACAUGGAUUUUCAUAAAUAUCAACAGUCUAAUCACUAUUUCUACAACUUUUGAUAAAUUAUGCAUUACAGCUAUAAAACAAAACAUUAUAAUUCAAAUAUACUCUAUGUAUUGCGCGAUAAAGAGAUUCGUGACAGUCCUCGAAUGACACGGUAGACAUUUUUUAUUUUCAGGCCUUCUUCGAAAGUUAGGAUCAUAUGGAUCCUUUCAGAAGAAAUGUGGUUUAGACCAGUUUUGCUUUCAAUGUAUGAAAUAUCAUUGUUGCUUUUAGGGGUGCGAUAAAAGUGUCUUACGUGAAAUGAUUGCAUUCAAAAAGGGACAUAUUACGAUAUGUAGAACGUAUUCCUCUUCUUUUUUAAGUGUUUUAAAUAUAUUUUAGGAUAGGCAGCUUCUUUUGUCAUAUAAUCUAUUUUUUUACAAUAUUAUUGACGAUAUUAUGACAAAAUUUAGCAAUGUAUUUAUGCUUAUAUCUUUACAUUUUGUAUAAAUACUUUCAUGUAAUUUAUGUAUUCCACGAGACUAAUCUCCCAUAUAUCUAUUAAUAAAGAUACAUUGAUACCAAUAUAUGGAUAUGGGUAUGAAUAUGGAUAUAGGGAUGAAUAUAUGAUGAUUAUUGUAACAUGUAAACCCUGACGAAAGUCGAACUCGUUUGUUCGUUGUGCUGCUCGUGUAAUCCGUAAGCUGUUGAAUGAAACAUUCAAGCGAGAAUUUCAAUUCGAAUUAUACUUUCAAAUAAAUGAUUCAUUUAUUUAAAGAAUCAUCAAUAAAAUCCUGUUGUCAUAAUAAUACACGAAAUAUAUUUCGUGACUUUCAGUUGCUUUGUAUGUAAAAAAAUUUUCAAAACUCUACUCACAAAUUUUAUAUUCUUAUUUCAAAAAUUCUUCUAAUUGAAUAAAUAUUUUAAUGCUUUUCAUUGCAUCGAAUUACGUGUUAAAACUUUCCAAACGGUGUAAACGAAAUUUUUUAAAUUUCAUAAAACAAAAUAAACUUCGCUUUCACGUUAUUAUCAUAAAUCAAUGAAUAAUUAAAAUUAAUUCAAAAUUCACAAUACAUUAUACAAUUUAUUAUGAUACCAUUAAUUUCAGAAUUUCAUUGUAUAUUUCAUUUCGAACGUAAUGAUGCACGUACCAUCAGUGAUGGUAUAUGGUUUGAAAUUAAAUGUAAAAAUGGUAUGAAGAUACAAAAGAAAAUAUCAUUAUUACAUUCAUGUUCAUUUCUUUUAUCUAUAAAAAUUGUUCCUUUUUUUUAAAUUAUAUUAUCACAAACGGAUUUAUACAAAUUACAUUACUCAAAGUAGAUCCGUAUAUUGCUCGAAAAUUCGUUUAAUUCUCACAGAAUUAUAUUUGCUAAAAACAUAAUUAUAUAUGUAUACAUUUGUGACAGAGAGAAUAUACUGCCGAUUAUUAUUUCUGAUUUUACAUACUUCGACGUCGUUUCGACAAUUUAUUUAGUAUAUAGGCUCUUUAGGACCAGUAGUCUUCGAUAUAUUUGAAGAAUAUAUAGCCUUUGUAGAAAUCUAAGAUUAAUAGAUUGUAAUAAUGAACAUAAUUCGAACAGAUACUUCAAAUUUAAAGUAUCUUCUCUGCUAUUCUUCCUCUACUUCUUCUCAUUUGAUGCUAAUGCUGACGUUGUAUAAUGCUGCUUCUGCAUCUACCUUCCGUUUUUAUGCUGACUUUUAAAUAUAAACUUGAUACUAAAGAAACAAUACGUAUAAACUCUUCUAUCAUAUUAUGUAAAUGAAUUCCUUGUUGUUCCCUGAAAAUCUUAAAAUUCAUACUUUGAAUCUUUAAAGCUGUCAUUAAUUUACUAUCAAACCAAUGAAUAGAUUUCGAAAUAUAAUCGUAAUAAAAUUAUUAGUUUGAUGUUGUAUAAAUAAAAUUGUUUAGAAUCAAUGUUUUCGAAAUUCACCACACUAUGUAAUUAACAACCAAAGGCUUUUAACAACUUAAUCUCAAUGUAAGUUAAUUAAGUUAAGAAAAAAAUUUUUCUUAGAAAAAAGCAAAAUCUGUAAAGAGAUUUUAUUCGAUAACUUAUUAAAUUUUUGUAUACUUUGCUGGUGUCCAAUCAUAUUAAAUAGAACAUUAAAUAAAAAAUGUAAUAAAUUAUAUGUAAUAGCGUCGUAAAGUAUGUGAUAGUUAUGUGUUACUUUUAUUUUCCAAGAGCAAGAAAAAAGACUAAAAAAUAAAUAAAUAUAUUUCGGUGGAAAGAUUUAUGAAAUGUAUAAUAACAAGUAAGAGGUAGUUCAAUGUACAAUUGAACGAUAAUUAUAUUCGUAUCGUUUAGUAUAAGAUUAUUAGAUAAGAUUGUAAAUUUAUUUGAAAUCGCGAUCAACGAUUUGACAAAAUCUUAUGACUGUAUAUUUUAUGGCCUUGUUAUCUUAUAAAUUGAAAGGUUUGAGAUAUACGUACUUCCAAAAACCAGCACGUUUACACAGUUUUAUUAUAGAUUAUUUUGUAGUCUUUAGAUUCGGAUCUCUGUGUCUCUUCAGAAUCGUGUAAUUAAAAAUUGUAUAUGCAUUCGUUAUACUCAUUAAAUAAUGUAAAAUGUGUGAAAGGAAACGAGAUAUAUAUAUAUAUUUGCUAACGUAGUAACAUUGAUUUUGCUGAUAUUAAAAUUCUUAUGUAAUCUAGCUAAUGCGCGCCACAAUACUGUAUGAAUUUUGUACAUACAGUAUAUUUCAAGAAGGGUGCGAAAUAACGUCCUUUAAGAAAACUUACACCGACUUUUAUCUAGUUAUUUAAUAUACAUAUGUAUGCGUUCUUUUAACGAGAAUUUUGCAUAGGGCACAAACAUGUUCGAUUUUCAAGAACAUUGUAUACAAGGUCUAAGAAAUUCAUUAAGUUAGUUUUUUGCCUAAUGAUUAAAAAUCUUAAAAUGACAUGUUAAAAGGAAGGAAAAUAAUGAUUCAAAAUGAUUUAAAGAACUAUAAAAAUGAUAUAGAUAUGUUCUUUAGAAAUAACCUAUUAUUUGAAUAAACCGAAUUUUGCUAUUAUGUAUUUUAUUCCAAUCAUUAAAUUACAAAUUUAAUACUAUGAAUUAAUGUAUGUUACAAUUAAUGCGUUAUAUUUACCAAAAAAGUUAUGAGACAAAAAGGCAGCUGCUACACUUGUUAUGUAUGUGCGUGUGUGUGUGUAUACAUAUACAUAUACAUACUAUAUAUAACAUUUCUUAAUGUACAUUUGAAUUUUUCCAUAAGGAAAAGAAAUGUUUUUUUUCAAAUCCACUUGAUCUAAUCGUAGAACUUACUAUAACAAUGUAGCUAAACGCAAUUAAUUCCGCGAUUUUAAAGAAAACUGGGACGGGUCACAUAUUGUGGAAAAUGAAAUCUACCAUAUUUUUGUAACAGUCUAUAAAAUAGUUUCAAAAAUAUUUUUAUUUUAUCGCACAUUCAUUUCAUGCAGUAAACUGUUUUAUCGUUAACAAAAGAUCAUCCAACAUAAAAUACAUGGAAGAAAUUUCUGUAAACAGAUAAUUUUGCAACAAGUACCUGAAUUUCAGUAUUCGAUUUUAGUAUUAUUUCAGACCAAUCAACCCAUUUUUCUUUGAAAUCUCAAUACAAAUUCGAAAAGAAUACUUCGCAUCUUGUUACAUACAUAAAAGUUUGUUCUAAAUCAUAUUUGUCAUCGCUUCUGCGUACUUUUAUAAUCUGUUAAAAUCGCCGUAUAAUCUUUGGAUCACAAAAUAAAAAAAUUCGUAGUUCAAGUUACGUAUUGCGUACGUAAUAUGUAAUUACAUAUAAAAUGCAAUUAAUAAAAUUAAUCAAACUGUGACCGAUAGUUUCUAUUCAUAAGUUACUAAAAUAAAGUAUUAAAACUAUUAUUCAGUUUCAGAGCGGCAAGAAAUAUUCGUGAUCCAAUGAUUAAUCGUACUUAUAAGAUCGGUAGUUCACUUCUAAAACACGCAUCUUGAAAUUGACAUUCAUUAUGCUGCAAAUUAAAGCGUACCAUUGCAUUUAUUUUGUGAUAUUUUAGUAGUAUGAAUUAUUUCUCAGAUAUGAGUAUAUCGAUUAAUUAAUUGGUAUUAAUAAACAUGCGUAUUUCAUGAUACAGGUAUAUGUAAUGCGUCAGUAUGAACAUUAUACGAUGGGUCGACAUAAAAAUAGAUACAGGAGAAUGUGUUUUACAAGAAUUACUUGACGCCAUCCAUACAUUUGCUUAAAAUUAUGUAGAUUAUUGGUGGUAAGAAUUUUAGAGCACAUUGUCAAGCGCAACGGAUAAUAUUAUGAGUCUAAAUAUCAUUAACAUACAUUAUUAAUCAUGUCUGAUGACCAUUUUUGAUUCUCGGUUACUUUUAAGUGUUGAGAACCAAAUGAGAAUAAUAGAACUUGCUAGAGACAAAAUGAUAUUAAUUUAAAAUUGACAUACUACAAUAGUCUCGAGAUGAUUGCGUUGCGACUCAGUCACAUAAUUUUUAUCCUUCGCAGAGAAAAUUUUAAAUAACAUACAAAUUGUAAUCAUAGGACUACAAACUACUCAUGGAUAAUUUAUUAUUUUAUUAUUAAUCGAGUCUCCCUUUAAAUCGAAACUAAAUGAAUGUCUUUUUUAGAUUUUAGUUCUUUUUCUUUAAAUAAUCUAAAAUACAAUAUAAAAUAUUGUGUAUACAUAGAAAUGCUUUCAGACUUGAACAGACACCGACAUAAUUUCAGAAACAUGUUUUUUAAAUUUUACACCUUUAAUUCACGUUCGUAAUAUACGUGAAUGGUCUAAUAAGAUUUAAUAUAUAUGUACUUAUUACGUUAACACGAUACUUAUUAAUAUUUCGUUUAAACAAUCAAAUAUAAUUUGUUCGUAAAUGGUAUGCACCGCGAAAAAAAACGAAAAAUAUCGACAUUACUCAUCAUUACUAAUAAUAUUAUAAUAAUAAAUCACAGUAUGCUAUAAAUGUA